rnacentral:rRNA from 1 species
UCUCGGAGACAUUAUCGAGUUUUGAAGAGGUUGUAGCUGGCCUUUCGGGGUGCGUGCACGCCUCGCUCAUUUCCGACUCUUCGACACCUGUGAACUAGCUGUAGGUCGGUUUGAAAGUGGGUUCUUGGGAGCCCAUCGAUGCCUUCCUAUGUCUUUAACAAACCCUUGUUGUGUUGGAAUGUCUUCGCGCUUUUAGAAACGCAUCAAAUAUAACUUUCAGCAACGGAUCUCUUGGCUCUCGCAUCGAUGAAGAACGCAGCGAAAUGCGAUAAGUAAUGUGAAUUGCAGAAUUCAGUGAAUCAUCGAAUCUUUGAACGCACCUUGCGCCCCUUGGUAUUCCGAGGGGCAUGCCCGUUUGAGUGUCAUUGUAUUCUCAAAUCCCCUUGCUUUUGUGAGGCUUGGAUUUGGAUUUGGAGGUUUGCGGGCUGACUUUGUUGUCCCGCUCCUCUUGAAUGCAUUAGCUGGAACCUUUUGCUAGACCGGCUUCGGUGUGAUAAUUAUCUGCGCCGUGGUUGUGAAGGCAACUUUGUCGAGGAUCCGCUUCCAAUUGUCUUACUGGACUAUUCUGACAUCUGACCUCAAAUCGGGUAGGACUACCCGCUGAACUUAAGCAUAUCUAAAACCGGGAAGAA